UACGUAGGGUCCGAGCGUUGUCCGGAAUUACUGGGCGUAAAGAGCUCGUAGGUGGUUUGUCGCGUUGUUCGUGAAAACUCACAGCUCAACUGUGGGCGUGCGGGCGAUACGGGCAGACUUGAGUACUGCAGGGGAGACUGGAAUUCCAGGUGUAGCGGUGAAAUGCGUAGAUAUCUGGAGGAAUACCGGUGGCGAAGGCGGCAUCCUGGACCGGCAUUGACGCUGAGGAGCGAAAGCCAGGGGAGCAAACGGG
rnacentral:rRNA from 1 species